UAAACGUUUGAUCCCUUGUAU
rnacentral:miRNA from 1 species